rnacentral:pre_miRNA from 1 species
GGCAUUUCUGUUUUCAAGCCUUAUUAAAAUUUUAAAAUAAGCUUGAUUUCAGAAAUGUCGA